rnacentral:rRNA from 1 species
GACGAACGCUGGCGGCGUGCUUAACACAUGCCAGUCGAACGGAAAGGCCCUGCUUUUGUGGGGUGCUGGAGUGGCGAACGGGUGAGUAACACGUGAGUAACCUGCCCUUGACUUUGGGAUAACUUCAGGAAACUGGGGCUAAUACCGGAUAGGAGCUCCUGCUGCAUGGUGGGGGUUGGAAAGUUUCGGCGGUUGGGGAUGGACUCGCGGCUUGUCAGCUUGUUGGUGGGGUAGUGGCUUACCAAGGCUUUGACGGGUAGCCGGCCUGAGAGGGUGACCGGCCACAUUGGGACUGAGAUACGGCCCAGACUCCUACGGGAGGCAGCAGUGGGGAAUAUUGCACAAUGGGCGGACGCCUGAUGCAGCAACGCCGCGUGCGGGAUGACGGCCUUCUGGUUGUAAACCGCUUUCGCCUGUGACGAAGCGUGAGUGACGGUAAUGGGUAAAGAAGCACCGGCUAACUACGUG